rnacentral:rRNA from 1 species
AUUGAACGCUGGCGGCGUGCUUAACACAUGCAAGUCGAUCGGUAACAGGUGUAGCAAUACAUGCUGACGAGAGGCGGACGGGUGAGUAAUGCUUGGGAAUCUGCCUAUUAGUGGGGGACAACCCGGGGAAACUCGGGCUAAUACCGCAUACGCUCUACGGAAGAAAGCCGGGGACCGCAAGGCCUGGCGCUAAUAGAUGAGCCCAAGUCGGAUUAGCUAGUUGGUAGGGUAACGGCCUACCAAGGCGACAAUCCGUAGCUGGUCUGAGAGGACGACCAGCCACACCGGAACUGAGACACGGUCCGGGACUCCUACGGGAGGCAGCAGUGGGGAAUAUUGGACAAUGGGGGCAACCCUGAUCCAGCGACGCCGCGUGGGUGAAGAAGGCCUGCGGGUUGUAAAGCCCUUUCGGUGGGGAAGAAAAGUCUCGACCUAAUACGUCGGGACCUUGACGUAACCCACUAAAGAAGCACCGGCUAACUCUGUGCCAGCAGCAGCCGCAGUAAU